GACGAAGGGGGGCUAGCGUUGCUCGGAAUGACUGGGCGUAAAGGGCGCGUAGGCGGUUCGUACAGUCAGACGUGAAAUUCCCGGGCUCAACCUGGGGGCUGCGUUUGAUACGUGCGGGCUUGAGUUCGGAAGAGGGUCGUGGAAUUCCCAGUGUAGAGGUGAAAUUCGUAGAUAUUGGGAAGAACACCGGUGGCGAAGGCGGCGACCUGGUCCUUGACUGACGCUGAGGCGCGAAAGCGUGGGGAGCAAACAGG
rnacentral:rRNA from 1 species